UACGUAGGGUGCGAGCGUUAAUCGGAAUUACUGGGCGUAAAGCGUGCGUAGACGGUUACGUAAGUCGGGUGUGAAAGCCCCGGGCUCAACCUGGGAAUUGCAUUCGAGACUGCGCAGCUAGGGUGCGGAAGAGGGAAGCGGAAUUUCCGGUGUAGCGGUGAAAUGCGUAGAUAUCGGAAGGAACAUCAGUGGCGAAAGCGGCUUCCUGGUCCAGCACCGACGUUCAGGCACGAAAGCGUGGGGAGCAAACAGG
rnacentral:rRNA from 1 species